rnacentral:rRNA from 1 species
GAUGAACGCUGGCGGCGUGCCUAAUACAUGCAAGUCGAACGGACGGACGAUGCGCUUGCUUCUCUGAUGUUAGCCGCGGGCGGGUGUAUAACACGUGUAUACCCUCCCUAUAAGACUGGGAUAACUUCGGGAAACCGGCGCUUAUCCCGGAUCAUAUUUUGAACCGCAUUGUUCAACAGUGAAAGACGGUCUUUCUGUCACUUCUAGAUGGUUCCGCGCUGCUUUAGCUAGUUGGUAAGGUAACGGCUUACCAAGGCAACGAUGCAUAGACGACCUGAGAGGGUGAUCGGCCACACGGGAACGGAGACACGGUCCAGACUCCUACGGGAGGCAGCAGUAGGGAAUCUUCCGCAAUGGGCGAAAGCCUGACGGAGCAACGCCGCGUGAGUGAUGAAGGUCUUCGGAUCGUAAAACUCUGUUAUGAGGGAAGAACAUAUGUGUAAGUAACUGUGCACAUAUUGACGGUACCUAAUCAGAAAGCCACGGCUAACUACGUG